AUGGACUUAAUACGAAGGAAUUUUCUUGCACCAGACGCGGACGCAAUUCCGAAUAUACCACUGAGAGUGCCUGGUGGUGAGGAUUAUCUCGCAUGGGACUUGGAAAGGUCCGGUGUCUAUUUUGUUAAAACGGCUUAUCGUGCUCUAGUGACUCGAAAAGAGCGCUUAGCUCUAGAGGAAGGAACAAUAGCGGAGUCUUCAAUAUCGGAUAGACCCAUGUGGACGGCCUUGUGGAAACUAAAGGUUAUUCCUAGAGUCCGUGUUUUC
rnacentral:rRNA from 1 species